CAGUCGCCGCGGUAAUACGUAGGGUGCAAGCGUUAAUCGGGAUUACUGGGCGUAAAGCGUGCGCAGGCGGCUAUGCAAGACAGAUGUGAAAUCCCCGGGCUCAACCUGGGAACUGCAUUUGUGACUGGCGAGCUAGAGUAUGGCAGAGGGGGGUAGAAUUCCACGUGUAGCAGUGAAAUGCGUAGAGAUGUGGAGGAAUACCGAUGGCGAAGGCAGCCCCCUGGGCCAAUACUGACGCUCAUGCACGAAAGCGUGGGGAGCAAACAGGAUUAGAGACCCCAGUAGUCCCUGUCUCUUAUAC
rnacentral:rRNA from 1 species